UAACGGCUGGAAACGGUCGCUAAUACCGCAUGAUGUGUUCGGAUGGCAUCAUCUGAACAUCAAAGAUUUAUCGCUGAAAGAUGGGCUCGCGUCUGAUUAGAUAGUUGGUGGGGUAACGGCCUACCAAGUCUACGAUCAGUAGCCGGACUGGGAGGUUGAACGGCCACAUUGGGACUGAGAUACGGCCCAGACUCCUACGGGAGGCAGCAGUGGGGAAUAUUGCACAAUGGGGGAAACCCUGAUGCAGCAACGCCGCGUGAAGGAUGACGGUUUUCGGAUUGUAAACUUCUUUUCUUAGUGACGAAGACAGUGACGGUAGCUAAGGAAUAAGCAUCGGCUAACUACGUGCCAGCAGCCGCGGUAAUACGUAGGAUGCAAGCGUUAUCCGGAUUUACUGGGUGUAAAGGGAGCGCAGGCGGGACUGCAAGUUGGAUGUGAAAUACCGUGGCUUAACCACGGAACUGCAUCCAAAACUGUAGUUCUUGAGUGAAGUAGAGGCAAGCGGAAUUCCGAGUGUAGCGGUGAAAUGCGUAGAUAUUCGGAGGAACACCAGUGGCGAAGGCGGCUUGCUGGGCUUUAACUGACGCUGAGGCUCGAAAGUGUGGGGAGCAAACAGGAUUAGAUACCCUGGUAGUCCACACUGU
rnacentral:rRNA from 1 species